UACGGAAGGGGGCUAGCGUUGUUCGGAAUCACUGGGCGUAAAGGGCGCGUAGGCGGCCUGGCAAGUCGGGGGUGAAAGCCUGUGGCUCAACCACAGAAUGGCCUUCGAUACUGCCGGGCUUGAGACCGGAAGAGGUCAGUGGAACUGCGAGUGUAGAGGUGAAAUUCGUAGAUAUUCGCAAGAACACCGGUGGCGAAGGCGGCCAACUGGACCAUACUGACGCUGAGGCGCGAAAGCGUGGGGAGCAAACAG
rnacentral:rRNA from 1 species